rnacentral:rRNA from 1 species
CGGAGGAAAAGAAACUAACAAGGAUUCCCCUAGUAACGGCGAGUGAAGCGGGAAGAGCUCAAAUUUGAAAUCUGGCAGUCUUCGAUUGUCCGAGUUGUAAUCUAUAGAGGCGUUUUCCGUGCCGGACCGUGUCCAAGUCUCCUGGAAAGGAGUAUCAAAGAGGGUGAUAAUCCCGUACUUAACACGACCACCGGUGCUCUGUGAUACGUCUUCUACGAGUCGAGUUGUUUGGGAAUGCAGCUCAAAAUGGGUGGUGAAUUCCAUCUAAAGCUAAAUAUUGGCGAGAGACCGAUAGCGAACAAGUACCGUGAGGGAAAGAUGAAAAGCACUUUGGAAAGAGAGUUAAACAGUACGUGAAAUUGUUGAAAGGGAAACGAUUGAAGUCAGUCGUGUUCUUUGGAUUCAGCCAGUUCUGCUGGUCUACUUCCUUGGAACGGGUCAACAUCAGUUUUGUCCGGUGGAUAAAGGUAGUAGGAAUGUGACUUCUCCGGAAGUGUUAUAGCCUAUUAUCACAUACACUGGGUGAGACUGAGGACUGCAGCUCGCCUUUAUGGCCGGCCUUCGGGCACGUUCGAGCUUAGGAUGUUGACAUAAUGGCUUUAAACGACCCGUCUUGA